rnacentral:rRNA from 1 species
GACGAACGCUGGCGGCGUGCCUAAUACAUGCAAGUAGAACGCACAGUUUAUACCGUAGCUUGCUACACCAUAGACUGUGAGUUGCGAACGGGUGAGUAACGCGUAGGUAACCUGCCUGGUAGCGGGGGAUAACUAUUGGAAACGAUAGCUAAUACCGCAUAAUAUUGAUUAUUGCAUGAUAAUUGAUUGAAAGAUGCUAUUGCAUCACUACCAGAUGGACCUGCGUUGUAUUAGCUAGUAGGUGAGGUAACGGCUCACCUAGGCGACGAUACAUAGCCGAACUGAGAGGGUGGUCGGCCAAACUGGGACUGAGACACGGCCCAGACUCCUACGGGAGGCAGCAGUAGGGAAUCUUCGGCAAUGGACGAAAGUCUGACCGAGCAACGCCGCGUGAGUGAAGAAGGUUUUCGGAUCGGAAAGCUCUGUUGUAAGAGAAGAACGGGUGUGAGAGUGGAAAGUUCACACUGUGACGGUAUCUGACCAGAAAGGGACGGCUAACUACGUG